rnacentral:rRNA from 1 species
AGCGAACGCUGGCGGCAGGCUUAACACAUGCAAGUCGAGCGGGCAUCCUUGUGGUGUCAGCGGCAGACGGGUGAGUAACGCGUGGGAACGUGCCCUUCGGUUCGGAAUAACUCAGGGGAACUUGAGCUAAUACCGGAUACGUGCGAGAGCAGAAAGGUUUAUCUGCCGAAGGAUCGGCCCGCGUCUGAUUAGCUAGUUGGUGAGGUUACGGCUCACCAAGGCGACGAUCAGUAGCUGGUCUGAGAGGAUGAUCAGCCAACCUGGGACUGAGACACGGCCCAGACUCCUACGGGAGGCAGCAGUGGGGAAUAUUGGACAAUGGGCGCAAGCCUGAUCCAGCCAUGCCGGGUGAGUGAUGACGGCCUUAGGGUUGUAAAGCUCUUUUCUCCGGGACGAUAAUGCCGGUACCGGAGGAAUAAGCCCCGGCUAAUUUCGU